UACGUAGGCAGCAAGCGUUGUUCGGAGUUACUGGGCGUAAAGGGUGUGUAGGCGGUUGUUUAAGUUUGGUGUGAAAUCUCCCGGCUCAACUGGGAGGGUGCGCCGAAUACUGAAUGACUCGAGUGCGGGAGAGGAAAGUGGAAUUCCUGGUGUAGCGGUGAAAUGCGUAGAUAUCAGGAGGAACACCAAUGGCGAAGGCAGCUCGCUGGGACGGUACUGACGCUGAGGCGCGAAAGUGCGGGGAUCAAACAGG
rnacentral:rRNA from 1 species